GACGAACCGUACAAACGUUAUUCGGAAUCAUUGGGCUUAAAGGGUGCGUAGGCGGCGCUAUAAGUUGGAAGUGAAAUCCCAUCGGCUCAACCGUGGAAUUGCUUCCAGUACUGUAGUGCUCGAGUAAGAUAGGGGCUUGUGGAACUGCCGGUGGAGCGGUGAAAUGUGUUGAGAUCGGCGGGAACGCCAGUGGCGAAAGCGACAAGCUGGACCUUUACUGACGCUGAGGCACGAAAGCUAGGGGAGCAAACGGG
rnacentral:rRNA from 1 species